rnacentral:rRNA from 1 species
UAAUAUCGUAAAUCGUUAGUGGCGACGGGUGAGUAACACGUUGGAACCUGCCCCAAAGUAAGGGAUAAGCCACCGAAAGGUGGUCUAAUACCUUAUAGUAUCCAUCUCGUAUGGAUUAAAGCUUUAUGCGCUUUGGGAGGGGCCUGCGUUUGAUUAGCUAGUUGGUGAGGUAAAAGCUCACCAAGGCGACGAUCAAUAGCUGGUUUGAGAGGAUGACCAGCCACACUGGGACUGAGAUACGGCCCAGACUCCUACGGGAGGCAGCAGUAAGGAAUCUUCCACAAUGGGGCAACCCUGAUGGAGCAAUACCGCGUGCAGGAUGAAGCGUUUCGGCGUGUAAACUGCUUUUAUCACCGAAGAUUAUGACUGUAGGUGAAGAAUAAGGACCGGCUAACUACGUG